AUGCUUGCUUCAGCAGCACAUAUACCAAAAUUGGAAUGAUACAGAGAUUAGCAUGGCCCUUACCCAGAGGGAUUUUUUUUAAAGCUUGAAUUUAGUUUU
rnacentral:snRNA from 1 species